GACGAACGCUGGCGGCAUGCUUAACACAUGCAAGUCGAACGGAAAGGCCCUGCUUUUGUGGGGUGCUCGAGUGGCGAACGGGUGAGUAACACGUGAGUAACCUGCCCUUGACUUUGGGAUAACUUCAGGAAACUGGGGCUAAUACCGGAUAGGAGCUCCUGCUGCAUGGUGGGGGUUGGAAAGUUUCGGCGGUUGGGGAUGGACUCGCGGCUUAUCAGCUUGUUGGUGGGGUAGUGGCUUACCAAGGCUUUGACGGGUAGCCGGCCUGAGAGGGUGACCGGCCACAUUGGGACUGAGAUACGGCCCAGACUGCUACGGGAGGCAGCAGUGGGGAAUAUUGCACAAUGGGCGGAAGCCUGAUGCAGCAACGCCGCGUGCGGGAUGACGGCCUUCGGGUUGUAAACCGCUUUCGCCUGUGACGAAGCGUGAGUGACGGUAAUGGGUAAAGAAGCACCGGCUAACUACGUG
rnacentral:rRNA from 1 species